ACUACUGCACAGUGCCUGACACUAAGAAAGCCUUUAUUAAAUGAUUAUUGAUUGACUAACUAUCUGAAGGCAAAUUGAGGCAACCUUUGUAGAACUCUUGAACAGAGAAUAGAUUAAAAUAGUUUGGUGUUAACAUUCCAUAAUAAUAGUCACUACUAAAUUCCUUUUGGUGACCAUUCAUAACUUAAUCUAGUGAUGUCCAGAAAUAGUCAAAGAAAAUUCCACUCUCUGAUCAAUAUCUUGAUUCUUAACAACUGGAAAAAGAGGAUGCUGCCCUUGGGUGUGUAUAGCCCAAACAUUUCAAGGGAUGGGAAUGUUAACAAAAGAAAAAGAGAGAAAGCUAUCACAAGAAGGAAAAGAAGUGGCAAGGAUAACAUUAUGAUGCAAAGAGAAUAGUCAAGAGGACAUCAAUAACAGACCUGCAAAGAUAUUGAAAUACUGCAGGGUGAAGCCACAUCCCUGGGGUACUGCGACCAUCCAGUCUCUCCACUCCUGCUCCAGAGCAGCUGGAUACCAAAGGAGAAAAUCACAUCAUCCAGCUGAUUUUGCCCACCGUUAUUCAUGGCACACAACCACAACUUGGCCUUUCUGAUGCUCAACAAUCCUUCUGUUCCACCACCCUUAUUGAAAUCUUAUAUCUCAUUUUGUCUGGUGACUAUUGUCUCCUCUCACCACCGCCCUCAGCUCCAGCCAGAAUGUUUAUUGCAAAUUACAUCACUCCCUUACUUUACUGAAAUAGUGAGACCAGCUGAUGUGAAGAAUAACACAUGGUCCCUGUCCCCACGAAGCCUAGUGGUAAAGAUAAGACAUGUACAUGAUUAUUAAGGUGAAGUUUGGAGAGCUAUGGGAGAGCUGCAGAGCAUUCUAGAAAUUUAAAGAAAGGAGAGAAAACUUCUAGCUGGGGAGAAUCAGGGAAUGGAGGAGAUAACAUCUGGGCUGGGCCUUGGAGGAAGAGUAGGAAUAGAAUAGGCAGAGCUGAGAAGAAAGGGCAUUCCCAGAAGAAAAAUGCUCUAUAUCCCCUAACUAUAUUGUAAGCUACUGAA